CAUUGAUUGAUUCUUCCCAGAAUCUUAACUCACGGGACAUCUAAAUGGGUUCUACAUAAACUUUAUAAUCUGCCCAGGCUAAGAGAAUAUCAAAGUACAAUUGAUACAGAUGUGAGCCAUCUAUUGGCUGGAACCCUGUCCCCACCCAUCCUUCCAGGGUAUAAAUACCACAGGCUGGGAACUCUUGAGCACAACAGAACAGAAGGGAAGCCCUGAAAAGAACAGCACACACAGCUGGAGGGAGAACAGAGAGGGGCACAUUGCUGACAGACAAGCAAUGGUGGACCUGACUUCAGCUCUCUCACUGGAAACCUGGGUGCUCCUGGCAAUCAGUUUGAUGCUCUGAUACCUAUUGGGGACCGAAAACCAUGACAUUUUUAAGAAACAGGGAAUUCCUGGGCCCAAACCUCUGCCUUUUUUAGGAACCCUGCUGAAUUACUACAAGGGUAUAUGGAAAUUCGAUGUCGCGUGUUAUAAAAAAGUAUGGGAAAAUAUGGGGGUUGUUUGAUGGUCCAACACCCCUGUUAUUUAUCACAGACCCAGACAUGAUCAAGAAUGUACUUGUGAAAGAAUCCUAUUCUGUCUUCACAAACCGAUGGGAAUUGGGCCCAGUAGGGAUAAUGAGUAAAGCUGUCUCCAUAUCCAAGGAUGAAAAAUAGAAGAGACUCCGAGCCUUGCUUUCUCCCACCUUCACCAGUGGAAAACUCAAAGAGAUGUUCCCCAUCAUUGAACAGUAUGAAGAUAUUUUGGUAAAAUACUUGAGGAGAGGCAGAGAAAGGCAAGCCUUUCGACAUGAAAGAGUGAGUAGUGGUACAUUU